rnacentral:rRNA from 1 species
UACAGAGGUCCCGAGCGUUGUUCGGAUUCAUUGGGCGUAAAGGGUGCGUAGGCGGCGGGGCAAGUCUGAUGUGAAAUCCUGGGGCUCAACCCCAGAACUGCAUUGGAUACUGCCUUGCUAGAGUACGGAAGAGGCGAGUGGAAUUCCUGGUGUAGCGGUGGAAUGCGCAGAUAUCAGGAGGAACACCAAUAGCGAAGGCAGCUCGCUGGGACGUUACUGACACUGAGGCGCGAAAGCGUGGGGAGCGAACAGG